UUUUCGUGGAACUUCAGAAAACGAAGACCAAGUUGAAAUGAUAUGUAGUGUCGAGUGGGAACGGAAUUUGUGCAUUCAAUCUAUUUUGAGUCGAUUUCCAAACGUUUCCAAACGUUCAGAGGAGUGUGCAGAUUCAAUUCACAACGUGGCCUAACGGCACUCAAAUUACAAUGGCCGUUGCAAAAAGCAGAUCGUGUGACCGUUGAAAAAGCAGGAUUUCACUUCUUUUAAAAGGAGACAUACUAGAGAUGCAGGGCAGAUUGUAUUGUUGUUUCAUAACUUUCAUUUUUUUUUCCUUUCCUUUUUAGCUUAAUUUUUUUUGGUGUGGCCAUGCCUCUGAGUUUUGCUUUUCUGAGUUUUAGUUUGAAAUUUUUACUUUUUGUACUCAGAUGUUUUCAUUUGCUUUCUGGGUUCGAAUUGCAGUACUUUUUGGUAUUUCGUGUAUUUUUUCUGUGGGUUGGUCAUUUUUAGUGGGCGUAGAGGUAGGCAGCAGCAAGAACUCUACGUUCUGGAGUGGGUGAUUGGAGAUAUGGCCAGAAAAUGGUCAAUUUAAUCAUUUGAUUGAAUCUUCAACGUCUGUUUAUUGGAUUGGAUUUGGAGUUGACCUGGCAAAUUUCAGGAGAUUGUAGGUACAAUACCGCCUAGGUGCGAGGUUCGUCUUCACCUGGAUUCGCAGGGUUGAGUAUACUUCUUUCAUCCUUAGAAUUUGGGUUAGAUGGUCGUAAAACCCUCAGUUUACCCUAGUCAUGCUCAAGUAAGCAUCGUCUGUGAUCCAUUACUUUCCCUUUUUUAUUUGGGUUUGCGGGUCGGGUAAUUGGUUGGCUUACUUGGUUUGCGUGCUUGACGUGUGGUAAAUGGAGUAUUUAACUUUAAGUAUUUAUUUUGAUUUAAUGUGUUCAUUUACGCAUUAGUAAUUAAGGAAUUAAAAUAAAUAGGUUUCUUUUA